rnacentral:lncRNA from 1 species
CUUGUGGGCAAAAUGGGUUCUUCUAGACUUAUUCUUUUAUUCUAUUUGUAUCAUUCAUGGAGUGAAGUGCUCUGUACUCCAACUGAACGUGUCUCCCAUGUGUCUGAUUGGAGUAAUGCUGGGCAACUACUGCAAAAACACAAAGGACCGGCUGAACAUGACAAUUCUCCCUUCCCUCAGAAACCUAGUUCCAGUGCUCAUGUGAAGUCAAGUUUUUCCAUUUCCUUAAGAAAACCUACUGCUCUAUUGGAAAACAGCAUUUGGCAAUCAUCUGUAAAAAAAGCACAUCCUAAGGAACCCAGUUUUUCCUUUGGUUCUGAGAAGUCCCGUUCCCUUUGUGUGAAGAAACCCAGUUUUUCUCUCCCAUCUGAAAAGUCAAGCUCUAAACCUAGUGCUCCUAAGCAAUUGAGUUAUUUCCGCCCCUCUGAGAAGUCUGGCUCUAAACCUGAGAGACCCAAAGCUCCUACUGAACACCAAUCUAAGCUAAAGACCCCAAGUUCUCCUUUCCCUGUGAAAAGUAUUCUCUUCUCGAAGGUCAGUUCUAAACCUAAGAAACCUGGGGCUCUGAUGGUACUCACUUUUUCACAUCCAUCUAAAAAGUCAAGUUCUAAACCUGAUAAACCUAUUGCUCCUAUGCAAUUGAGUUAUUUCCGCCCCUCUGAGAAGUCUGGCUCUAAACCUGAGAGACCCAAUGUUCCUACUGAACACCGAUCUAAUCUCGAGAUCCAACGUUCGCCUCGCCCUGUGAAAUCAAGGAUUCACUUCUCAAAGAUCAGUUCUAAACCUAAGAAACCUGAGGUUCUGAAGGGACACAUUUUUUUACUUCCAUCGGAAAAUUUCAGCUCUAAACCGGAGAAAUCUAGUUCUCAUAUGCAACAACAUUCUAAGCCAGAGACCCCAAGUUCUCUUCUCCCAGUGAAAUCAAGUGUUUUCCUAAAGAUCAGUUCUAAACCUCUAAAAACUAGUGCUCUUUUGAAACCUAGUUCUUCCCUUCCAUCUGAUAAGUCUAGCUCUCUCCCCACUGGGAAACACAGUUCUAAACCUGAACAACCUAGUGCUCCCAAGAAACCCAGUUCCUCCCUCUCCACUGAGGAACCCAGUUCUAAACCUGAACAACCUAGUGCUCCCAUGGAACCCAGUUUUUCAUUCCCCACUAGUGCUCCCAUGGAACCCAGUUUCUCCCUCCCCACUGAGAAACCCAGUUCUAAACCUGAACAACCUAGUGCUCCCAUGGAACCCAGUUUUUCAUUCCCCACUAGUGCUCCCAUGGAACCCAGUUCCUCCCGCCCCACUGAGAAACCCAGUUCUAAACCUGAACAGCCUAGUGCUCCAAUGGACCCCAGUUUCUUAUUCCCCACUAGUGCUCCCAUUGAACCCAGUUUCUCCCUCCCCACUGAGAAACCCAGUUCUAAACCUGAACAAACUAGUGCUCCCAUGGAACCCAGUCUCUCAUUCCCCACUAGUGCUCCCAUGGAACCCAGUUCCUCCCGCCCCACUGAGACACCCAGUUCUAAACCUGAACAACCUAUUGCUCCAAUGGAACCCAGUUUCUCCCUCCCCACAGAGAAACCCAGUUCUAAACCUGAACAACCAAGUGCUCCCAUGGAACCCAGUUCCUCCCUCCCCACUGAACCCAUUUUUAAACCUGAACAACCUAGUGCUCCAAUGGAACCCAGUUUCUCCCUCCCCACAGAGAAACCAAGUUCUAAACCUGAACAACCUAGUGCUCCGAUGGAACCCAGUUUCUCAUUCCCCACUAGUGCUCCCAUGGAACCCAGUUUCUCAUUCCCAACUAGUGCUCCCAUGGAACCCAGUUUCUCCAUCCCCACUGAGAAACCCAGUUCUAAACCUGAACAACCUAGUGCUCCCAUGGAACCCAUUUUCUCAUUCCCUACUAGUGCUCCCAUGGGACCCAGCUCCUCCCUCCCCACUGAACCCAUUUCUAAACCUGAACAACCUAGUGCUCCAAUGGACCCCAGUUUCUCAUUCCCUACUAGUGCUCACAUGGAACCCAGUUCCUCCCUCCCCACUGAGAAACCCAGUUCUAAACCUGAACAACCUAGUGCUCCGAUGGAACCCAGUUUCUCAUUCCCCACUAGUGCUCCCAUGGAACCCAGUU